rnacentral:misc_RNA from 1 species
AAUAAAAAAAAAAAAAAAAAGAAAUUUCAAAUGUUCCAUUUUACUUUAUUGAUGUUGAAUAUUAUCAAGUGAUGUUUCUUUUGUAACUAUCUGCCAGUUGCCUAAUAAUUUUACUUAGAAAAGUGUGCUUAGAUGUGCAUGUUUGCAGACUUGCUUUGCUGAAUCUCUUCUAUUAUGAAUAUGGAAAAAUGUAGGUAUUAUAUCUGAUGUUUCAGAACUUCCUGCAGGCCUAGUUAUUGUUCAAUAAUGGCGCCAAAUCCCAGAGUUAUGAAUGCCUUUCGUGCAAUGAAGGCAAUUGGCAUAAAUGAAGAUAAAGUAAAACCAGUUUUGAAAAGACUUUUAAAAUUAUAUGACAAGAAUUGGGAACUGAUUGAAGAAGAAAAUUAUAGAGUGCUUGCUGAUGCCAUAUUUGAUGAGGACGAUUCUAAGGGAGAAAAUUUUACUGAUGAAGCAGAGGUGCAUGAUGAACCUGAGCGACCGUUAAAAAGAUUGCGAUCAAGAAGCCAAGAAGGGCAGUCUUCUCAAUCUAUGAUGGGUGGAACUUCAUUAAGAAAACCUAAAUUGGAUGAUGAAGGGAAGCUGGGCGCAAAUUCUCUGCAGCGAUCACCAGACAUGAUGAAGUUGCAACCUGGGCCUUCUGAUUCACAGUCGACUCAGGUGCGGCAUGCGUACAAGGGAAAAGAACCUUUGUUACCUCAAGUAUCUCCUAGAGAGAAGAGACCUAUUGUAGAGAGGCCAUCUCAUGGAGUGCAGUUCAAAGAUCGCGAAGUUGAUCCAGACAGUGUACUAAUACCAAAACAAAAGGUGGUUGAUUCUUAUGCUCUGAUCAAGCCUAAAGAUGAGCCAUUUACUGAUGACUUGCCUCCUGAUGACGUACCUCGUUAUGAGGCUCCUAUUGCUGUGAUCCGACCAGAUUCCUUUAGCAAAGAAGAUAUUUCAGGUAGGAGUUUUUUAACAGGAAAGCCAGAUGAUCAGGAGCCUCCAGCAUCCCAUUUUGGAACUGAAGAAGAUAGAGGUGACAGUGUUCCAGCUUCAUCAAGUAGCCGAAGAGCCAACUCUGAGCUUGCACCUGUUCUGGAGGAAUCUCCUGCUAACUUAGAGAUUGCCUCCUCGUCAUUGGGAGAGGUGAAGAUUUCUUUGAGCUGCAACUCUUUGCUUGGAAGACCAAAUUUUCACAUGCCUAGUCAAGAUGAACUUCUGAAAUCAACGCAGGAGAAGUGUCUCCGGUCUUAUAAAAUUUUUGAUCCUAACUUUUCUGUCAUGCAAAUGCUGAAAGAUAUGUGUGACUGCUUCCUGGAAUUGGCUACUGAUUCCUCUCGUGAAUCGCAGGAAAGGUUAAUGAAUGUAAUUCCAUCUAUCAGUGCAUUGAAGAGAUCAGCUGCAUACAGUGCUUUGGGUGUUGGGGGCGUUAAAGGAAGUAAUUGUAUACCAGUUAAUAUUUCAAAUGGAUCAAUUGAUAUACAUUGCUCUUCUGAGGUGGCUGCACCUCAAAUGCCAAGGCAAAUAAAACCUAUCAGUGAGGACACCCAUUGUAGUGCGAAUGGUUCUACUGAAAGUAAUGGAGGACGGGAAUUGAGAGACCCUGAGUCAUGUAGUUUGGUGGUUGUUCCACAGCAUCAGCUCACUUUUGAGGAACUAAGAUCUCUUCAUGACUUCAAUGACAUAACUAAGGGAGAAGAAGUAAUUGAGAUUUCAUGGUUAAAUGAAAUCAACAAUGAGUGUCCUCCUCCUUUUAUGUACAUACCUCAAAACGUGGUUUUUCAAAAUGCUUAUUUGAGAUUCACUCUUUCUCAAAUUAAUGCUGAAGAUUGCUGUUCUACUUGUAUUGGUGAUUGUCUAUCCUCAACCACAAUUUGUGUUUGUGCCUGUGAAACUGGAAACGAGUUUGCAUACACAUCAGAAGGCCUCAUUAGAGAGGAUUUCUUGGAAGAGUGUAUCUCUAUGACCCGUGAUCCUCAACGACAAUGCCUCUCCUAUUGUAAAGCUUGCCCCCUUGAAAGAUCAAAAAAUGAUGAGAUCUUGGAACCAUGCAAGGGUCACUUGAAGAGGAAAUAUAUUAAAGAAUGUUGGAGUAAAUGCGCCUGCCAUAAGCGGUGUGGCAAUCGAGUUGUGCAGCGGGGUAUAAGGUGCAAAUUGCAGGUUUUCUUUACUCCUGAAGGAAAGGGAUGGGGCCUUAGAACCCUUGAAAAGCUGCCAAAAGGGACAUUUGUGUGUGAAUACAUUGGAGAAAUACUGACCAACAAAGAGUUGCAUGAGAGAAAUGUACAGAGGACAAGAGGCACCAACAAUGAGUGGCAUACCUAUCCAGUUCUAUUGGAUGCAUAUUGGUUCUUGAAAGGAGCUUUGAAGGAGGAAGAAGCUCUUUGUUUGGAUGCAACAUUCUAUGGGAAUGUUGCCAGGUUUAUCAAUCAUAGGUGCCUUGACUCAAAUUUGAUUGAGAUCCCAGUCAAGGUGGAGACCCCAGAUCAACAUUAUUAUCACCUUGCCUUCUUCACAGCAAGAGAAGUAAAUGCCUUAGAAGAGCUAACUUGGGAUUAUGGUCUCGACUUUGAUGACGAUGAUCAUCCUGUGGAGGUGUUCAAGUGCCUAUGUAGCAGCAAGUUCUGCAGGAACAUGAAACGUCCAAAUAGUAAGUUCAUUCUGAAGCUUUAUGGGCCUUAUGGCGGGCAAUUUGGAAUUUUUACCUUUUUCCUGAAAGUAAUUAUUUAGUUUGAGCUUUGCAUGUUCUGUGUGUGUGCAAUUAAUUUCUUCAUGACUGUUGAGUACUUAAGCAUUGGCUAGGUUUGAGAUCCAAAAUUAUGGUUUCUAGGUUCAAUCAUAGCCUACCAAAAUUAACUUGAUUGAUGCUGGUGGUUGAUCACCUGUUUUAAGUUCACAAUUAAUUACGACUCAUUAGAGUGGGGACUGUUCCUUUUUGCAUACCAAUAAGCUGUGUAAGCAGUGAAGAAACCUGUGAAUGAAAUUUCUCAAGGAAAACCAUUAUUCUGGAAGUCAUCACUGAUACUGUUCCUUUUCGCAUGCCGAUAAGCUGUGUAAGCAGUGAAGAAACCUGUGAAUGAAAUUUCUCAAGGAAAACCAUUAUUCUGGAAGUCAUCACUGAUACUGUUCCUUUUCGCAUGCCGAUAAGCUGUGUAAGCAGUGAAGAAACCUGUGAAUGAAAUUUCUCAAGGAAAACCAUUAUUCUGGAAGUCGUCGCCGAUGCCCAGCAUACCCAUCCAGCGCUAUUGAUUAGUUUGUCAACUUUUGUGGUGCUUCUGCUCUUGGUCACCCAUUUUCGCAUGUUUGCCCACUGAUGAGCAGCUUUCUCUGUGCAGGGUCUAAAUCUGCAUUGAGAUGACUAGAUACAUGGAGAUUACAAGACUCCUUUUUGCUGUUAUGUUCUCUCUCCUGACAAGGAGGAAAUUUCAUGGAAUGGAUUUUACUGCAACUUCUAUCAGUUCUAGCAACUAUGUUGUCAGCUGAUGCAGAUUAGGGUGUUAUUCUGUGAUAUGUACAUAACGAACAUCUGUGUUUUUGACCUUGUAGCUUCAUCUCAGACAAUCCAGCUUCUCAAGUUCUAUUAUUGGAACAAGUGUCAGUGUAGAUUAAACAACAUCCAGUAGAUGAUUAUGAAAGUUAAAUAACAAAAUAAAAUAAAAACAACAAAAAAUUAAAAUCUUUAAAAAUAGAAAAUUAAAAAGCAAUAGAAAUUUUG